AGAGAGGCUGACAGAGCAGAGCUGACCCACUGCAUCCUGCUGCAGGCCCGAAUCUGCCCAGAGGAAAUGGUCCUGUUUCUGCAGUCGCAGCUGGGCGGUGAGAGGGAGGCUGGAUGCGUGGCAGCCCUGGGACUCCUCGGCGUUCUGGUUCACUCUGAUGAGCCCGCAAUGACAGAGAAGCUGCCCCAGGUUGCAGAGGCUCUGCAGUGUGUGUGCAGUGACCCCAGGACCCAGGUGAGGAGGGCCAUUCUGCACUUCAUCAAGGAUCUGCUCAGCGUUAACACCUGGAGCUGCUCAGCCUGGGAUGUGGUGGGGCACAUUU